rnacentral:rRNA from 1 species
AUUCUAUUAUAAUACGCUUUAGUGUUAAAUAUGCUAGUCCUUUCAUGAUUAUGUGAUAGGUGGUGCAUGGCCGUUCUUAGUUCGUGGAGUGAUCUGUCUGCUUAAUUGCGUUUCACUAAGGGCCCAUAAAUUCAAGGUAUGUUAGCUAUCGUUUCUCAAUUGACCCCUUGUCUUCGAUAAGCGCGUGUCUUUUAGAGUUUAAACAUUGCGCAUGCUGUUGGGUCCUGAAAGCAACGAACGUGACCGCAACGUCUUAUUGCCUUUAUCUUGCUAUAUUUUAAUUUAAUUAAAAAUAGCUAACAGAGGCUAAUUUAAAAUUAGACGGACCGCUG